CCCCUCCCGCGGCACCAGCCCCUGCUCCGCCGCCUGCCACGCCAGCGUCGGAUGCCGCGAGGACGCCCCUCUCCCCCGCCUCAUCCCCCUUCCCUUCUCCGUCCAAAUCUCCGAUGAGUGCCCUCGCUCUGCCGCCAGCCACCACCUCGCCGGCGACGCCACCAACACCAGCGAGGACCAUCCUCACCUCCCCACCCUUCUCUCCCCCACCCCAUCUGCCUCCACCAGUUGCCCCCGCCGCCGGAACCGCCCAACCGGCCUCCACCCCCCAGCGCCGUCGCCGCUAGUGGACGGUUUGACUCAUGCAUUCAAGCAUGGGACUUUUUUUUUUGAAAGGAUUAGCAUGGAGCUCUUUUACCAUAGUUGGAAAGCACAAGUACCGGGAGUAUUUCCAAUAAUUGCCCCCUUUCGGUAACCAAUCCAUUUGGCGCACGUUGCACACGCCGUUGGACAUCCCGCUACCGCUCCACUCGUUCGUCGUCUCCAGGCUCCAGCUUCCCCGGGUCUCAUCUCGCACCCAACUUUGACUCGUUCUUAGGGAAACCGGUUUGCAUACUCACUGAAUGCUGCAGCAAAAAAUACUAUUACUUAAUUUGCUUAGCAUCGCUGGAUCAUCGCCGCCAUCUUCCCGACGGCCUAUGGCCGGCAGUCUGCAUCUGCUUGGCACCUGCCGCAGAGAGCGUGCAGUAUCCUCUGCACUCUACACCCAUUCAUGCCUGAUCCACAUAUGACAUGGCAGCUUCUACUUAUAUUAUAUUUGUACUUUGUAUGUUAACAUACGAGAACAUGGCAGCUUCUACUUAUAUUUGUACUUUGUAUGUUAACAUACGAGAACCUUCAAAGAAAGAUGAUAUGGUACCAUUCA